AUUGCUUCUCGGCCUUUUGGCUAAGAUCAAGUGUAGCAAAAAUAAUUUUAAAAAAUACUUUUUAAAAAAGUUAAUGAAAAUGUUUUUCUCUACAGUUAAUAAUACUGUACUUGCACAUUUUACUUUUAUUGAUUGUAU
rnacentral:snRNA from 1 species